rnacentral:rRNA from 2 species
GUUGACCUCGGAUCAGGUAGGGAUACCCGCUGAACUUAAGCAUAUCAAUAAGCGGAGGAAAAGAAACCAACAGGG